GACGAACGCCGGUGGCGUGCCUAAUACAUGCAAGUCGAGCGGACCAAUAGAAGCUUGCUUCUGUUGGUUAGCGGCGGACGGGUGAGUAACACGUGGGCAACCUGCCUGUAAGACUGGGAUAACUUCGGGAAACCGGAGCUAAUACCGGAUAAUUCAUCCCCUCGCAUGAGGGGAUGCUGAAAGUCGGUUUACGCUGACACUUACAGAUGGGCCCGCGGCGCAUUAGCUAGUUGGUGAGGUAAUGGCUCACCAAGGCGACGAUGCGUAGCCGACCUGAGAGGGUGAUCGGCCACACUGGGACUGAGACACGGCCCAGACUCCUACGGGAGGCAGCAGUAGGGAAUCUUCCACAAUGGACGAAAGUCUGAUGGAGCAACGCCGCGUGAGCGACGAAGGCCUUCGGGUCGUAAAGCUCUGUUGUUAGGGAAGAACAAGUAUCGGAGUAACUGCCGGUACCUUGACGGUACCUAACCAGAAAGCCACGGCUAACUACGUGCCAGCCGCCGCGGUAA
rnacentral:rRNA from 1 species